CCUACGGGUGGCUGCAGUGGGGAAUAUUGGGCAAUGGGCGCAAGCCUGACCCAGCAACGCCGCGUGAAGGAAGAAGGCUUUCGGGUUUUAAACUUCUUUUAAUAGGGAAGAGCAGAAGACGGUGCCUCUUGAAUAAGCCACGGCUAACUACGUGCCAGCAGCCGCGGUAAUACGUAGGUGGCAAGCGUUGUCCGGAUUUACUGGGUGUAAAGGGCGUGUAGCCGGGCUGACAAGUCAGAUGUGAAAUUCCGGGGCUCAACCCCGGACUUGCAUUUGAAACUGUUGGUCUUGAGUAUCGUAGAGGUAGGCGGAAUUCGUAGUGUAGCGGUGAAAUGCGUAGAUAUUAGGAGGAACACCAGUGGCGAAGGCGGCUUGCUGGACGACAACUGACGGUGAGGCGCGAAAGCGUGGGGAGCAAACAGGAUUAGAUACCCCAGUAGUC
rnacentral:rRNA from 1 species